rnacentral:rRNA from 2 species
UAAAGCGAGCGCAGGCGGUUUUUUAAGUCUGAUGUGAAAGCCCUCGGCUUAACCGAGGAAGCGCAUCGGAAACUGGGAAACUUGAGUGCAGAAGAGGACAGUGGAACUCCAUGUGUAGCGGUGAAAUGCGUAGAUAUAUGGAAGAACACCAGUGGCGAAGGCGGCUGUCUGGUCUGUAACUGACGCUGAGGCUCGAAAGCAUGGGUAGCGAACAGGAUUAGAUACCCUGGUAGUCCAUGCCGUAAACGAUGAAUGCUAGGUGUUGGAGGGUUUCCGCCCUUCAGUGCCGCAGCUAACGCAUUAAGCAUUCCGCCUGGGGAGUACGACCGCAAGGUUGAAACUCAAAGGAAUUGACGGGGGCCCGCACAAGCGGUGGAGCAUGUGGUUUAAUUCGAAGCAACGCGAAGAACCUUACCAGGUCUUGACAUCUUUUGAUCACCUGAGAGAUCAGGUUUCCCCUUCGGGGGCAAAAUGACAGGUGGUGCAUGGUUGUCGUCAGCUCGUGUCGUGAGAUGUUGGGUUAAGUCCCGCAACGAGCGCAACCCUUAUGACUAGUUGCCAGCAUUUAGUUGGGCACUCUAGUAAGACUGCCGGUGACAAACCGGAGGAAGGUGGGGAUGACGUCAAAUCAUCAUGCCCCUUAUGACCUGGGCUACACACGUGCUACAAUGGAUGGUACAACGAGUUGCGAGACCGCGAGGUCAAGCUAAUCUCUUAAAGCCAUUCUCAGUUCGGACUGUAGGCUGCAACUCGCCUACACGAAGUCGGAAUCGCUAGUAAUCGCGGAUCAGCACGCCGCGGUGAAUACGUUCCCGGGCCUUGUACACACCGCCCGUCACACCAUGAGAGUUUGUAACACCCGAAGCCGGUGGCGUAACCCUUUUAGGGAGCGAGCCGUCUAAGGUGGGACAAAUGAUUAGGGUGAAGUCGUAACAAGA